GGCGAAAGCCUGAUGCAGCAACGCCGCGUGAGUGAAGAAGGCCUUCGGGUUGUAAAGCUCUGUCUUUUGGGACGAUAAUGACGGUACCAAAGGAGGAAGCCACGGCUAACUACGUGCCAGCAGCCGCGGUAAUACGUGGGUGGCGAGCGUUGUCCGGAUUUACUGGGCGUAAAGGAUGCGUAGGUGGAUAUUUAAGUGGGAUGUGAAAUACCCGGGCUCAACUUGGGUGCUGCAUUCCAAACUGGAUAUCUAGAGUGCAGGAGAGGAAAGUGGAAUUCCUAGUGUAGCAGUGAAAUGCGUAGAUAUUAGGAGGAACACCAGUGGCGAAGGCGGCUUUCUGGACUGUAACUGACACUGAGGCAUGAAAGCGUGGGGAGCAAACAGGAUUAGAUACCCUGGUAGUCCACGCCGUAAACGAUGGGUACUAGGUGUGGGAGUUGUCAUGACUUCCGUGCCGUCGUUAACACAGUAAGUACCCCGCCUGGGGAGUAC
rnacentral:rRNA from 1 species